AGCGAACGCUGGCGGCAGGCUUAACACAUGCAAGUCGAGCGGGCAUCUUCGGAUGUCAGCGGCUGACGGGUGAGUAACACGUGGGAACGUACCCUUCGGUUCGGAACAACUCUGGGAAACUGGAGCUAAUACCGGAUACGCCCUUAUGGGGAAAGGUUUACUGCCGAAGGAUCGGCCCGCGUCUGAUUAGCUAGUUGGUGGGGUAACGGCCUACCAAGGCGACGAUCAGUAGCUGGUCUGAGAGGAAGAUCAGCCACACUGGGACUGAGACACGGCCCAGACUCCUACGGGAGGCAGCAGUGGGGAAUAUUGGACAAUGGGCGCAAGCAUGAUCCAGCCAUGCCGCGUGAGUGAUGAAGGCCUUAGGGUUGUAAAGCUCUUUUGUCCGGGACGAUAAUGACGGUACCGGAAGAAUAAGCCCCGGCUAACUUCGUG
rnacentral:rRNA from 1 species